rnacentral:lncRNA from 1 species
AUGAUCACCUCAUUAAUGUCUUUUUUAUCGUUGUUUACUAGUAUUCUUAUUUUGAUAAUGGCAUAUUGUUUGUGUGAAUACGUUAAACAUUUAAUUAGUGAAUUUUUUUUUUGUUUAAAGUUACCUUUUGAGGCAAGAUGGGGUAUUGGGUGCGGGGUAUGAUGGGACAUUGGUGAUAAUACCAUGGUACGUACUUACAAGAAAAAAACAAAAAGAGGAGAGUGGUCGAGAGGUGCUAUGAAAACAGCCAUAGAUAAAGUGACAUCGUCAGAACCCUGGGUAGGCUGCCAGAUCUGUGGAUGUUGAGCUCACAAUGCUUGUGCUAGGGUGGACAAUGAAGAUCUGGAGCAAAUACACAUUUUUGUUUGUUUUGUGAGAAUUAAUUAGCAUCACCAUCAUGCCCCAAUUCCAUUACCCCA